rnacentral:rRNA from 1 species
AGUCUAACAUAUGUGCAAGUUAUUGGGAUGUAAACCUAAUAGCGUAAUUAACUUGACUAAUAAUGGGAUUAGUUUUUUAGCUAUUUAUAGCUAAUUAACACAAUCCCGGGGCGUUCUAUAUAGUUAUGUAUAAUGUAUAUUUAUAUUAUUUAUGCCUCUAACUGGAACGUACCUUGAGCAUAUAUGCUGUGACCCGAAAGAUGGUGAACUAUACUUGAUCAGGUUGAAGUCAGGGGAAACCCUGAUGGAAGACCGAAACAGUUCUGACGUGCAAAUCGAUUGUCAGAAUUGAGUAUAGGGGCGAAAGACCAAUCGAACCAUCUAGUAGCUGGUUCCUUCCGAAGUUUCCCUCAGGAUAGCUGGUGCAUUUUAAUAUUAUAUAAAAUAAUCUUAUCUGGUAAAGCGAAUGAUUAGAGGCCUUAGGGUCGAAACGAUCUUAACCUAUUCUCAAACUUUAAAUGGGUAAGAACCUUAACUUUCUUGAUAUGAAGUUCAAGGUUAUGAUAUAAUGUGCCCAGUGGGCCACUUUUGGUAAGCAGAACUGGCGCUGUGGGAUGAACCAAACGUAAUGUUACGGUGCCCAAAUUAACAACUCAUGCAGAUACCAUGAAAGGCGUUGGUUGCUUAAAACAGCAGGACGGUGAUCA